rnacentral:rRNA from 1 species
CAGUAGCCGCGGGAAUACGAAGGGGACUAGCGUUGUUCGGAAUUACUGGGCGUAAAGCGCACGUAGGCGGACAUUUAAGUCAGGGGUGAAAUCCCGGGGCUCAACCCCGGAACUGCCUUUGAUACUGGGUGUCUAGAGUAUGGAAGAGGUGAGUGGAAUUCCGAGUGUAGAGGUGAAAUUCGUAGAUAUUCGGAGGAACACCAGUGGCGAAGGCGGCUCACUGGUCCAUUACUGACGCUGAGGUGCGAAAGCGUGGGGAGCAAACAGGAUUAGAUACCCCCGUAGUCCCUGUCUCUUAUAC